rnacentral:rRNA from 1 species
CGGCGAUGUCCGAAUGGGGAAACCCAGUGCAAUUCGUUGCACUAUCGUUAACUGAAUACAUAGGUUAACGAGGCGAACCGGGGGAACUGAAACAUCUAAGUACCCCGAGGAAAAGAAAUCAACCGAGAUUCCCCCAGUAGCGGCGAGCGAACGGGGAGCAGCCCAGAGUCUGAAUCAGCUUGUGUGUUAGUGGAACGGUCUGGAAAGUCCGACGGUACAGGGUGAUAGUCCCGUACACCAAAAUGCACAGGCUGUGAACUCGAAGAGUAGGGCGGGACACGUGGUAUCCUGUCUGAAUAUGGGGGGACCAUCCUCCAAGGCUAAAUACUCCUGACUGACCGAUAGUGAACCAGUACCGUGAGGGAAAGGCGAAAAGAACCCCGGCGAGGGGAGUGAAAAAGAACCUGAAACCGUGUACGUACAAGCAGUGGGAGCACCUUCGGGUGUGACUGCGUACCUUUUGUAUAAUGGGUCAGCGACUUAUAUUCUGUAGCAAGGUUAACCGUAUAGGGGAGCCGCAGGGAAACCGAGUCUUAACUGGGCGUUAAGUUGCAGGGUAUAGACCCGAAACCCGGUGAUCUAGCCAUGGGCAGGUUGAAGGUUGGGUAACACUAACUGGAGGACCGAACCGACUAAUGUUGAAAAAUUAGCGGAUGACUUGUGGCUGGGGGUGAAAGGCCAAUCAAACCGGGAGAUAGCUGGUUCUCCCCGAAAGCUAUUUAGGUAGCGCCUCGUGAAUUCAUCUUCGGGGGUAGAGCACUGUUUCGGCUAGGGGGUCAUCCCGACUUACCAACCCGAUGCAAACUACGAAUACCGAAGAAUGUUAUCACGGGAGACACACGGCGGGUGCUAACGUCCGUCGUGAAGAGGGAAACAACCCAGACCGCCAGCUAAGGUCCCAAAGUCAUGGUUAAGUGGGAAACGAUGUGGGAAGGCACAGACAGCCAGGAUGUUGGCUUAGAAGCAGCCAUCAUUUAAAGAAAGCGUAAUAGCUCACUGGUCGAGUCGGCCUGCGCGGAAGAUGUAACGGGGCUAAACCAUGCACCGAAGCUGCGGCAGCGACACUAUGUGUUGUUGGGUAGGGGAGCGUUCUGUAAGCCUGCGAAGGUGGCCUGUGAGGGUUGCUGGAGGUAUCAGAAGUGCGAAUGCUGACAUAAGUAACGAUAAAGCGGGUGAAAAGCCCGCUCGCCGGAAGACCAAGGGUUCCUGUCCAACGUUAAUCGGGGCAGGGUGAGUCGACCCCUAAGGCGAGGCCGAAAGGCGUAGUCGAUGGGAAACAGGUUAAUAUUCCUGUACUUGGUGUUACUGCGAAGGGGGGACGGAGAAGGCUAUGUUAGCCGGGCGACGGUUGUCCCGGUUUAAGCAUGUAGGCUGGUUGUCCAGGCAAAUCCGGAUAAUCAAGGCUGAGGUGUGAUGACGAGGCACUACGGUGCUGAAGUAACAAAUGCCCUGCUUCCAGGAAAAGCCUCUAAGCAUCAGGUAACAUCAAAUCGUACCCCAAACCGACACAGGUGGUCAGGUAGAGAAUACCAAGGCGCUUGAGAGAACUCGGGUGAAGGAACUAGGCAAAAUGGUGCCGUAACUUCGGGAGAAGGCACGCUGGUGUGUAGGUGAAGCCCCUGCGGGUGGAGCUGAGACCAGUCGAAGAUACCAGCUGGCUGCAACUGUUUAUUAAAAACACAGCACUGUGCAAACACGAAAGUGGACGUAUACGGUGUGACGCCUGCCCGGUGCCGGAAGGUUAAUUGAUGGGGUUAUCCGUAAGGAGAAGCUCUUGAUCGAAGCCCCGGUAAACGGCGGCCGUAACUAUAACGGUCCUAAGGUAGCGAAAUUCCUUGUCGGGUAAGUUCCGACCUGCACGAAUGGCGUAAUGAUGGCCAGGCUGUCUCCACCCGAGACUCAGUGAAAUUGAACUCGCUGUGAAGAUGCAGUGUACCCGCGGCAAGACGGAAAGACCCCGUGAACCUUUACUAUAGCUUGACACUGAACAUUGAGCCUUGAUGUGUAGGAUAGGUGGGAGGCUUUGAAGCGUGGACGCCAGUCUGCGUGGAGCCAACCUUGAAAUACCACCCUUUAAUGUUUGAUGUUCUAACGUUGGCCCCUUACCGGGGUUGCGGACAGUGUCUGGUGGGUAGUUUGACUGGGGCGGUCUCCUCCCAAAGCGUAACGGAGGAGCACGAAGGUUAGCUAAUCCUGGUCGGACAUCAGGAGGUUAGUGCAAUGGCAUAAGCUAGCUUGACUGCGAGCGUGACGGCGCGAGCAGGUGCGAAAGCAGGUCAUAGUGAUCCGGUGGUUCUGAAUGGAAGGGCCAUCGCUCAACGGAUAAAAGGUACUCCGGGGAUAACAGGCUGAUACCGCCCAAGAGUUCAUAUCGACGGCGGUGUUUGGCACCUCGAUGUCGGCUCAUCACAUCCUGGGGCUGAAGUAGGUCCCAAGGGUAUGGCUGUUCGCCAUUUAAAGUGGUACGCGAGCUGGGUUUAGAACGUCGUGAGACAGUUCGGUCCCUAUCUGCCGUGGGCGCUGGAGAAUUGAGGGGGGCUGCUCCUAGUACGAGAGGACCGGAGUGGACGCAUCACUGGUGUUCGGGUUGUCAUGCCAAUGGCACUGCCCGGUAGCUAAAUGCGGAAGAGAUAAGUGCUGAAAGCAUCUAAGCACGAAACUUGCCCCGAGAUGAGUUCUCCCUGAGACUUUAAGUCUCCUGAAGGAACGUUAAAGACGAUGACGUUGAUAGGCCGGGUGUGUAAGCGCAGCGAUGCGUUGAGCUAACCGGUACUAAUGAACCGUGAGGCUUAACCUU